CCCAACUAUCCCUAUUAAUCAUUACGUGGUCCUAAAACCAACAAAAUAGAACCAUUGUCCUAUUUUAUUAUUCCAUGCUAAUGUAUUCAAGCAAAAAUGCCCGCUUUAAACUCUAAUUUUUUCAAAGUAAAGGUCCUGAUUCAUCGAAACACCCAAGAGCAUCCUGACUCACCAGAAGGUGAGAAAUUGGCUACACACCAUUUCAUGCCCCUAAAAGCACGACCGAUAUAUCCCAAUCCCGAAAUUCAUAUACACUAUUGGAGCUGGAAUUACCGCGGCUGCUAACACCAGACUUGCCCUCCAA
rnacentral:misc_RNA from 1 species